AGGACGAACGCUGGCGGCGUGCUUAACACAUGCAAGUGGAGCGACGAACCAGGGCUUGCCCUGGGGCAGAGCCGCGAACGGGUGAGUAACACGUGGGUUACCUGCCUCGAUGACCGGGACAACCCGAGGAAACUCGGGCUAAUACCGGAUGUGCCCGCAAGGGGAAAGGAAGCUUCGGCCUCCGCAUCGAGAUGGGCCCGCGGCCCAUUAGCUUGUUGGUGAGGUAACGGCUCACCAAGGCUUCGAUGGGUAGCUGGUCUGAGAGGACGAUCAGCCACACUGGGACUGAGACACGGCCCAGACUCCUACGGGAGGCAGCAGUGGGGAAUCUUGCGCAAUGCGCGAAAGCGUGACGCAGCAACGCCGCGUGGGGGAAGAAGGCUUUCGGGUUGUAAACCCCUUUCAGUUGGGACGAAGCUUCUCCGGUAAAUAGCCGGACGGAGUGACGGUACCUUCACAAGAAGCACCGGCUAACUACGCGCCAGCAGCCGCGGU
rnacentral:rRNA from 1 species